rnacentral:rRNA from 1 species
AUUGAACGCUGGCGGCAGGCCUAACACAUGCAAGUCGAACGAGAGGCGGACGGGUUAGUAAUGUCUGGGAAACUGCCUGAUGGAUGGGGCUCACUACUGGAAACGGUAGCUAAUAACGCACACCCUCGGAUGUGCCCCGAUGGGAUUAGCUAGUAGGUGGGGUAACGGCUCACCUAGGUGACGAGCCCGAGCUGGUCUGAGAGGAUGACCAGCCACACUGGAACUGAGACACGGUCCAGACUCCUACGGGAGGCAGAAGUGGGGAAUAUUGCACAAUGGGCGCAAGCCUGAUGCAGCAAUGACGCGUGUAGGAAGAAGGCCUUCGGGUUGUAAAGUACUUUCAGCGGGGAGGCGUUACCCGCAGAAGAAGCACCGGCUAACUCCGUGCCAGCAGCCGCGGUAAUAC